CACGGAUUAACUCACCAGUAAGAAAACUACGCUUUGUGGGAAGACUUGUAACCAAAUCCUCCUUCCUCAGGAAUUCUAAGCAACUACUCAGCGCUGUCGUGGGGCGGUGACCUCCACCGGGACCGCAGGGUUUUCAUGAUGCAGUCUGACAUGCUGGCCAGCUUCUCCUGCAUCUCAAACAGGCGGCUGCCGGGGUAGCUGCGGAGAUCUUCGGAGGUGAGCUGAGCAGCGAGCAAAUCCAUCUGGCUCAGAAGAUCUGCAGGGGGUGGGCUGCUGCUGCUCAGGGCAAUGGCUUCACCCAGAUCCGUUGCAAGUUUUUCCUCAUCCACAGGAGGAGAUUUAUCCUCUGCACUGUUUACUGUUCUCUCCCCGUCUUCGAGCGCUCCGAUUUCUUCACACCCUCGAGAUUUUACCUGUUGCUCAUGAUAUCCUCUGAGAGCU
rnacentral:lncRNA from 1 species